GAAAUUCCGUAGCCGCCGAAAUUGUUAAGCACAGGGACACAUAGAGAUAUCCGAACCCGGGCGUUGGUUGACCCGGGCGCAAGGGACCGAACAUCAGUAGGGAAGUCGGAGAUGCUCUGUGGCGAGAAAAGCUGUGUGUAUUGAUUAGGCGCCCGUACCGCAAACCGACACAGGUAGAUGAGGAGAGAAUCCUAAGGCCAACGGGAGAAGGGUUGUUAAGGAACUCGGCAAAUUGACCCCGUAACUUCGGGAUAAGGGGAGCCUCCUACGGGAGGCCGCAGUGAAUAGGCCCAAGCAACUGUUUACCAAAAACACAGGUCUCUGCUAAAUCGAAAGAUGACGUAUAGGGGCUGACGCCUGCCCGGUGCCGGAAGGUUAAGAGGAGAGCUUAGCGCAAGCGAAGGUUCGAAUUGAAGCCCCGGUAAACGGCGGCCGUAACUAUAACGGUCCUAAGGUAGCGAAAUUCCUUGUCAGGUAAGUUCUGACCCGCACGAAUGGCGUAAUGAUUUGGGCACGGUCUCAACAGCCCGCCCGGCGAAAUUGUAGUACUGGUGAAGAUGCCAGUUACCCGCAACUAGACGGAAAGACCCCAUGGAGCUUUACUGUAGCCUAAUACUGAAGAUCGGUAAUGCAUGUACAGGAUAGGUGGGAGCCAGCGAAACCCGGGCGUCAGCUCGGAUGGAGGCAACCUUGGAAUACCACCCUUGUAUUGCUGGUUUCCUAACCUGCGGCCAUGAAUCUGGUCGGGGGGACACUGUUAGGUGGGCAGUUUGACUGGGGCGGUCGCCUCCAAAAGCGUAACGGAGGCGCUCAAAGGUUGGCUCAGCACGGACGGAAAUCGUGCAUAGAGUGCAAACGCAUAAGCCAACUUGACUGCGAGACCGACGGGUCGAGCAGGUACGAAAGUAGGAGUUAGUGAUCCGGUGGUAUGUGAGUGGAAAUGCCAUCGCUCAACGGAUAAAAGCUACCCUGGGGAUAACAGGCUGAUCUCCCCCAAGCGUCCACAGCGACGGGGAGGUUUGGCACCUUGAUGUCGGCUCGUCACAUCCUGGGGCUGUAUUCGGUCCCAAGGGUUCGGCUGUUCGCCGAUUAAAGUGGCACGCGAGCUGGGUUCAGAACGUCGUGAGACAGUUCGGUCCCUAUCUGUUGCGGGCGCAGGAGAUUUGAAGGGAGCUGUCCUUAGUACGAGAGGACCGGGAUGGACAGACCUCUGGUGCACCAGUUGUCGUGCCAACGGCACAGCUGGGUAGCUACGUCUGGACGAGAUAAACGCUGAAAGCAUCUAAGUGUGAAACUCCCCCUAAGAUAAGAUCUCCCAUCCAUUAGGAGUAAGGGACGACAGAGACUAUGUCGUUGAUAGGUCGGAAGUGUAAGUGCAGUAAUGCAUUGAGCUGACCGAUACUAAUAACCCGAGGGCUUGACC
rnacentral:rRNA from 1 species